CGGGUAACGGGGAAUUAGGGUUCGAUUCCGGAGAGGGCGCCUGAGAAAUGGCGACCACUUCUACGGAAGGCAGCAGGCGCGCAAAUUACUCAAUCCCAAUACGGGGAAGUAGUGACAAGAAAUAUUAAUGCCUAUCCUUUUAGGAAGGUAAUUAAAAUGGGUCUAAACUAAAUCCAUUUUCUAAUACAAUUGGAGGGCAAGUCUGGUGCCAGCAGCCGCGGUAAUUCCAGCUCCAAUAGCAUAUACUAAAUUUGUUGCGGUUAAAAAGCUCGUAGUUUAAAUUAAAGCCUUAUUGGGUUAAUAGGUUUUAGUCGAUUUUUAUCGGUUUAAGACUUCCAAUAUGUGUUUUUUAAAUUAGCUCAUGGAUUAGGUUACUUUUGUAAUUCUAGUUCGUUUGGGUGUUUCACUGUGAGAAAAUUGUGGUGCUUAAAGCAGGCGUUUUGCCUGAUCUUUUGCAGCAUGGUAUGAUAGAACAUGACAUUUUGCGCUAUUGGUUGCGUUAAAGUGUAAUGAUUAAUAGGGAUGGAUGGGGGUGU
rnacentral:rRNA from 1 species